UAAGGAAUAUUGCUCAAUGGGAGAAAUCCUGAAGCAGCAACGCCGCGUGGAGGAUGAAGGGUUUUUAACUUGUAAACUCCUGUAAAGAAGGAAAAAAUUCCCAUUAGAUGGGAAAUGAUGGUACUUCUGGAGUAAGCCCCGGCUAACUACGUGCCAGCAGCCGCGGUAAUACGUAGGGGGCAAGCGUUGUCCGGAUUUACUGGGUGUAAAGGGUGCUCAGGCGGAUUUGUAAGUCAGAGGUGAAAUCUCACAGCUUAACUGUGAAACUGCCUUUGAUACUGCAAGCCUAGAGUAAUGGAAGAGAGUGAUGGAAUAUCUGGUGUAGCAGUGAAAUGCGUAGAUAUCAGAUAGAACACCAAUGGCGAAGGCAGUCACUUGGUCCAUAACUGACGCUAAAGCACGAAAGCGUGGGUAGCAAAACAGGAUUAGAUACCCUGGUAGUCCACGCCCUAAACGAUGAAUACUAGAUGUUGGCUUCGCAUGAAGCCAGUAUCUGAGCUAACGCAUUAAGUAUUCCACCU
rnacentral:rRNA from 1 species